rnacentral:rRNA from 1 species
GAUGAACGCUGGCGGCGUGCCUAAUACAUGCAAGUCGAGCGAACAGAUGAGGAGCUUGCUCCUCUGACGAUAGCGGCGGACGGGUGAGUAACACGUGGAUAACCUACCUAUAAGACUGGGAUAACUUCGGGAAACCGGAGCUAAUACCGGAUAAUAUAUUGAACCGCAUGGUUCAAUAGUGAAAGACGGUUUUGCUGUCACUUAUAGAUGGAUCCGCGCCGCAUUAGCUAGUUGGUAAGGUAACGGCUUACCAAGGCAACGAUGCGUAGCCGACCUGAGAGGGUGAUCGGCCACACUGGAACUGAGACACGGUCCAGACUCCUACGGGAGGCAGCAGUAGGGAAUCUUCCGCAAUGGGCGAAAGCCUGACGGAGCAACGCCGCGUGAGUGAUGAAGGUCUUCGGAUCGUAAAACUCUGUUAUUAGGGAAGAACAAAUGUGUAAGUAACUAUGCACGCCUUGACGGUACCUAAUCAGAAAGCCACGGCUAACUACGUG